rnacentral:rRNA from 1 species
GACGAACGCUGGCGGCGUGCCUAAUACAUGCAAGUCGAACGCAGUGGGGACGGGUGAGUCACACGUGGGUAACCUCCCAUCAGAGGGGAUAACACUUGGAAACAGGUGCUAAACCGAUACUGAUGGAUGGACCCGCGGUGCAUUAGCUAGUUGGUGAGGUAACGGCUCACCAGGGCCACUAUGCAUAGCCGACCUGAGAGGGUGUGCGGCCACCCGGGACCUAAGCCAUGGCCCAGACUCCUACGGGAGUCAGCAGUAGGGAAUCUUCGGCAAUUGACGAAAGUCUGACCGAGCAACGCCGCGUGAGUGAAGAAGGUUUUCGGAUCGUAAAACUCUGUUGUUAGAGAGGCGGUAUCUAACCAGAAAGCCACUGCUAACUACGUGCCAGCAGCCGCGGUAAUAC